rnacentral:lncRNA from 1 species
AUGGGAAAACUCUUGCACCAUAUCAAAACUUUGAGAAAAGAGACAAGUAACACCACCGUAUUUGUAGCCACACAUCAUAAAAAUCAAAGUAAAAAAGAGUAGUACCAUAAAAAAACAAAAAAAAAAACCUGUAAUUGAUUGAAUAUAUGUAAAUGCUCUGUUCACAGAGCUGACAAUUAUUUUUAAGAGGCUACUAACAACUUUAUAACUAAAUUUUUAACUCCAUUAUUUCUGUAUUUCAAAACAUGUUUCUCUCUCUCUGUAUUUCAAGUUCCUCUUCCUUCUUAUGUAAACUUAGAUUUAGGAAAGUAAAGUAUAUAACGCAGCCGGUGGAUGUGAUCUAUCGCUCAAUAACUCUACAGAGCAGUAAUUUUCUUAAUAAUUUCAUGGUUUAACCAUUUUAAAUAUAAUUGUGUAUGAUUUUCACUUAUGAGAGAAGUUUACUUUCUUGCUCACAAUACUAGACUUGAUGAUAAUUAAAAGUAGCUGUCUGAAACCAAACUUGGAUUAAUUGACCGCAGCCAGUUGCCAUGCUUACAUUACUACGGGAGUAGACGCUGGAAGCAGCAUCAUUAAUUAAUUAUUAUGCAUUCUUAACGAAAUUAAAUAGUUAGGCUUGAAUAGAAUAUAGGAGAAGGGAAUCUUGAGAGAGUAGGCUAGGCCACACAUGAGGAUGGCGAUAAUUGGUCCACAUCAUCAACAUUGAAUGAUUCAGUCACCUGGUUGGAAAACCGAGGCAUUGCAUGUUAUGUAUGUUUUUGUUAUCUGAGGGAAUCACGCCCAUAAUAUCCAAGACAGCCAUUCAAAUGUGUAAUCCUCGUUAGCAUUCACCUGGCAUGUUCUUAUUGGUCCAAGGUUAAGCUUAUUGGCUACAAAUCAAAUCCAUCAUUAGUUUACGUUUCAGAAUGUCUCUCCACCGCCCCUCCACUUUUCACCUAAACUUUGUCGCUUUACAGCCAAUCCCUUCUUGCUUUGCUUUCUUGUGGUAAAAAUAUCAUAAGAAUUGAAUUGAUUACAUCAACUUGUAUUACUAUUUUUAAAUGUUAAUUCAAUUCAAUUCUGAUUACUUGAUUUUCAAUAUUAGUGUCUUUUUAAUUAAUAUAACCAAACAACGGUAGAAUGUCGGAAUGAUGAUUCAUGUUUCAGUCAUCAUUCAAAACAUUGCUAGAAAUUUUCCCUACUUUCGAUCAAAUGCUUGGAUUACCCAAUAUCAUGUGAUUUUUUUUUUUUUAGCAAUUGUAAUCCAAACAUCUUCUACGACUAUUGAUUUAUUGUUUUUAGAGAGUAAGGUAUCAUGUUACUAAAUAAAAUUCUAUCGAUUACAACGAUCAAAUUUAAGUAACUAAGCCCACAGAAAAAUCGGGAGAUGCAGUAUAGGAGUAACAAAACAGAUUGAACCCUUCUUGUGUUUGGUCCUUUUUGGGGAUUAGGUUGGAGUUUUUGGAUUAUAAUCCCAUUUUAGUCAGUCAAAAAAUAGUUGACAGAAAAGUCAAACAAGCCAAUUCAACUCAUUUUUUUUAAGAAUUAAUAUUUAUUUUAAUAUUUUAUAAAUAUAUUAAAAAAAUUAAUUAAUUUAUUUUUUGUCCAAAUAAAUUAUUAUUCAAAACUUAAGGUAAUACAUUAGAUUUUUUAAUAAGUAUUUAUUAUUUGAUAUUUAUAAAAGAUAAAAUCAAUUAAACUAUAUUUAUUAUUUAAUUUUUUUUUAACAUUUUAGCUUUGACGGAUUAACCUUUCAAUCCAAUCAAAAAUAGGAUGAACUAUUACUUUCAACCCAUAUAUGAAAUACAAACUUGGACAAAUUAACCCAUUUUUAUGGAUUGGUGGCGAGAUGAGCUAAUCUGUUUUGCCACUGCUGAUGUGGGAGGAGGGAAAGGUUCGAAAUUGAUAAUUUAGUGACAAGAAAUUGGCAAAGCAAACAUUUAAGCUUACGUUCAGAAUUGGAAUUAAUAUUAUCUUGAUAUCAUAGAUGACCAUUAUUAUGAAGAUCCACGAUAAUGUUUUAUAAUUUCAUGAUCAACAUGAUAGUGUCUUAGCGCAAAGGAGCAAUAAGACGUGUAAGGGUUAAAAAGAAAUAUAAAUAAAGGACAAAAGCUAAUUUUGUAUUGUGAAAUGAUCCAAUCACCUCACGCAAUGCAUCCCUUUGUAAAACUACAAAAUAAUAUUACGGUACAUAUGCCCACAUUUAUUAAUGGUAUCUAUUUUGUUAUGCAAUUAGUCUUUAAAUCAUUUUUUUAUGAUUCACGAUAAUUUAUAACCAAAAUGUUAUCACAUAAUAUUUUAAAACGUUUAUCUCAUCCAAACGUAUCAAUUUGAAGUGUAUAGUAUAUAUGUUUGAAUUUUGAAGAAUACUGAAUACACAAGUUACAAAUAUUUUUGUGUGGUAGAGAAUGAAUGGUGUGACGUGGCUGAUCAGAGGGCUAGAAGUGAGCCUCUGUCACGAGUGUACGACGUGGAAAGCAUAGCCAUGUGGGGCCAUGUGAAAUUUUAAUCUUUUGGAAAAGGGGCUAUGAGCAAUGCAAAUGGCACCAAAAGUUGUCCACGCAAUUAACUUCUUUUUUUGGGUUGUUGUUUUUUCUUUCCUAUUUUUUCUCAUGUGGACCCACCAUUUUCAUUUUGGGUUUUGGAGGUUAAUGAUGCCCAUUGAUGAUGGGCCCCACAUCAAGCACCGGCCUAUUUCCUUUGUUGCCUUUCCAUUUGCCAUUUUUCCAAACUCCCAAACGUCCAUUUCAAAUUUUGCUUCAUGCUUGGCAAAAAAAAUUAACGUGGCCUUUGCUGUUUAUUUUUGUUUUUAUUUUUAUUUUAAAUUUUUUAAGAUUUAGAAAAUAUAUAUCAAGAAAAAAAAAAUAUAAGGUGCCAUCAUAUUUUUUUAUUUUAAAAAAGACUGACAACGUUAAUAUGAUAUUUUCAAUUUUAGGUAUAUUUUUUAAAAUAUUUUCAUUUUUAAAUUUUAGAAAAACAUAUUUUUCCUUUUUUAUAUUUUCUCUAAAAUAAAAACAAAAAACACUUAAAAGUCACCGAAUAAUCUCACAAACCUUAAAUUUUGGCUAACAUCUUAACUUGACCAGAACAGGGAAAAGCAUACUCAUCUUUUCUUUAACAUGUUGAGGGCAACAAGCUUCUUUCACAUGAUAAUAAUACCAUGCCAGAGUUGCUAUGUGCCCACUAAUUUAAUUACAUUGAAUUAGAGCUUGAAUUAGACAAAAAUAUUACUUCAAUCAGUACAACAUCCAUUAACCAAGGCCCGAUUUUGUAGGUGUAUAACAAUGCCAAUUAUCUACAGAAGUGAAGUAAUUAAAUUCUCUGUACGUAAUGAGAUGAAGCUCGUUUGUGUUGUUAUUGUCUUUGAAAAUUAUUAUAUCUUUUGUUCAUUUGUUUUUCAUUAUUUAUGAUUGCUCCAUUUUUUGCUGCCUAGCUGGCUAGCUUUUCGAUCAAGGGAAACGGUGGGUCAAUUCUAAAGGGUAGAGGCCUAGUAGAGCACUAUAUUAUUCUAAAAGUUUUAUUCACAAAUAUUUUUUACAGUUAAAAGAGAAAAAUAUAUAAAAUAAAAUAAGUGAUAUAAUAAAAAAUUAAAAAUGAAGAUAAAUUAGAAAAAUAAUAAUGUAAAAAAUAUAUAAGUUAAAAUAAUAAUAUAGCUCCGAAACAUAUAGAACCCCACUCGUACGAAGUACAAACGGGGUCCGUUAGUAGUCAUCCUGUAAAUUUUUGUAAUUUGAGUAUACAUAAUUUCUUUUAAAAAAGCGAUACUAGUUUGGUUCUUUGAUGAUAAAUAUAAUGAUAGAAAAUACUAUUUGGUUUAAAAUCUUUGAUAUGAAAAGGAUUAUGAAUGCGUAAUAACUAAUCAUAAUUAAAAAUAAUGUUUUAUUAUGUGAGUUGUCAUACAAAAUUUUAUUCACUCGGAUUUAACAUUUUUACAUCAAAAUAACUUAAAAGAGUAAUUUGGUUUCAAAAUAAUACUAAAAGGAUUUAUAUUAUAUUAUAUUUAGUAUAAAAUAAUAACAUGAAAGUAAAUUGGUUUCACUUAAUUUCUAUACUAUACACUUACCCCAAAUAAUUGUAUCGGUAAGAUGUCAUCUAGUUGAUAAUUUUUUUUAUGAUUUUCAUAAUAAAUAAUUUUUUUAAUUAAUAUUUUAAGACACCACACUAUUUUUUUAUGUUAUUUUGAAGAGAGAGAGAAUCAAAAGAAAAAACAUUGACAACUGGUCAUACUGGUGUCUUUUAUUUUCUGUCAGUGACAUGAGCCGUCUCUGUUUGAAAAAGAUUCUUCCAAGUGAUCACACCGCACACACACUCCUUCUAUUUCUCUCUUUGGAAUUGCUUAUACUAUUCAUGACUCUGCAUCUCUAUAUAAACCUCUCUCACCUUCGAUCACCACACUCAUCACAACCACUCUUAAUUUCUCUCUGUCUCGUUUACACAUCUCUCCAACCUUUCACUUUCGUUUCUCAGUUUUAUUCGAAUCCCUCUCUCAAUCUCCUUUCCAAAUGGCCAGCGUUGAGGUAAUUCAAAGACACAGUUUCGUUGUUUAUAAUUUUGCCUCAGCUGGUUUUGUACAUUCCUUUAUUACUCCAACGUGUGUAGCAGUGGUAGUACUUUAUAUGGUUCCUACGUGCACACGGUGAAACUCAACACUUUAGUAACUAACUGUAUAUAUACAACUGUUUCUUCACUUUCUUACUUUCUUUGUUGUGAUUCAUUAUCGAUCAAAGAACCAGUUUGGUUUUUUAUUACGUGCGAACGUACGAUCUAGCAAGUUAUGUAUGCGAUGGUACUAGCUAGUCUUAAUAUACCGCACUUUGAUUUUAAUUUCUUUUUGGUUUCUCCCGAUCUAUCUUUGUUUUUGUUGCUGCGGUGUUUGAUAACCAUCAUUAUAUACGAAGCAUAAAUUAUAUAUUACUGCGGUCAACCACUUAAACUACACGAGAUUUGAGGGGAUCAACUUGUUUCAUAGCUUUCUUAAUUGAUCAUUGAUUAAUUGAAUAUAUAUAAAUCACGAACCAUUUUCCAGUUGAUGAUCAACAUCUGAAAUAUUCAUCGGUGUGUGGAAUUGGAUUGUGAUUAGCAGUUCUAUGUGGACCUAGUUUUUUGUUUUUGUUUAUAUAAUCACAGUUGCAUCAUCAGAAACAAAAAACAUUGAUCAAUUUAUUACGUAAGCUUUUUUUCUUGUUUUUUUUUCGCUAAAUAGGCUAUUGUUAAUUUCUUUAAAGCUCAAAAACCAACAUAUCCCAGCUAGUUGUAGAAGCUAAUUAACUCCCCCGUAGCCACGUUGAACUUCUUCAAGCUUAAAACUUAAAAGAAAAGGAGAACAAUUAAUUAUAUCACCAAGUUGACACUUUAAUUUAUAAGUCCUAUUAAUUUCAUAGUAGUAUUAAACAAUUUACGUUUAUCUUAUAAGUAAUGAGUUUUGUACUGCACCCCAUUUAUCUUAAUAUCUCAUGAACUAUUUCUCUUUAUUUUUUUAUUCCUAUCACAUUUCUUUAUUUUAUCUCACCUUCUAAGUGUCAAAUAGGUUUUUAUUGGGUGUGCAAAAGUCAUUUUAGUUAUCUUAUAACACAUUGUGCUAGUGCUGAUCAUGUGAUGUUUCACUUGUGUGUCUCUAUAGUCUAUACCAUCAAGUUAUUUGUUUCUCAUGUUUACAAAUCCACCUUUGUUUAAGCUUGGCACUAGAAGACUUUGUUAAAUAAAAUUAGAAAUCUCACAGGUUGCACAGCAAACACCAACAACAGUUCCAGAAAAUGAAACAACCGAGGUAAGCAAGACCCAGGAAACAACCCCAGUCACUGAGGCUCCUGCAACAGAACAACCAGCAGCUGAGGUUCCUGCAACAGAACAACCAGCCGCUGAGGCUCCUGCCCCAGAAUCAACCACCGAAGCACCAAAGGAAGAAACCACCGAGGCACCAACAGAAACAGUAGAAAAAACAACUACAGAAGUAGCCCCAGAGGAGCCUAAAGAAGUUCCAGUUGAGACCGAGGAGGUGGUGGCAAAGGAGACAGAGGAAGAGAAGCCAGCAGAAGAGAAAUCAGAGGAGAAAACUGAAGAAGUGAAAGAAGAAGCAGAGGAGCCUAAAGAAACUACUGAAACAGAAUCAGCAGCAGCAGCACCACCAGCAACCACAGAGGAAGAGAACAAACCAGCUGAGUCAGUUGAAACCCCAGUAGAGGUUCCUGUUGAGAAGACUGAAGCUUAGACCUAUGGACAGUGUGAGUGAGAAAAACAAGUUUAAAAAUGG